AACGAACGCUGGCGGCAUGCCUAACACAUGCAAGUCGAACGAACCCUUCGGGGUUAGUGGCGCACGGGUGCGUAACACGUGGGAAUCUGCCCUUUGCUUCAGAAUAACAGUUAGAAUGACUGCUAAUACCGGAUAAUGUCGUAAGACCAAAGAUUUAUCGGCAAAGGAUGAGCCCGCGUAGGAUUAGCUUGUUGGUGGGGUAAUGGCCCACCAAGGCGACGAUCCUUAGCUGGUCUGAGAGGAUGAUCAGCCACACUGGGACUGAGACACGGCCCAGACUCCUACGGGAGGCAGCAGUGGGGAAUAUUGGACAAUGGGCGAAAGCCUGAUCCAGCAAUGCCGCGUGAGUGAUGAAGGCCUUAGGGUUGUAAAGCUCUUUUACCAGGGAUGAUAAUGACAGUACCUGGAGAAUAAGCUCCGGCUAACUCCGUGCCAGCCGCCGCCGUAA
rnacentral:rRNA from 1 species